UACCGGGGGAGCAAGCGUUGUUCGGAUUUACUGGGCGUAAAGGGCGCGUAGGCGGUCAGCACAAGUCAGUUGUGAAAUCUCCGGGCUUAACUCGGAAAGGUCAACUGAUACUGUGCGACUAGAGUGCGGAAGGGGCAACUGGAAUUCUCGGUGUAGCGGUGAAAUGCGUAGAUAUCGAGAGGAACACCUGCGGCGAAGGCGGGUUGCUGGGCCGACACUGACGCUGAUGCGCGAAAGCCAGGGGAGCGAACGGG
rnacentral:rRNA from 1 species